AAUCAACGCUGGCGGCGUGCCUAACACAUGCAAGUCGAACGCGAAAGCCCCUUCGGGGGCAAGUAGAGUGGCGUCCGGGUGAGUAACACGUGGGUAAUCUACCUCCGGGUGGGGAAUAACUCGCCGAAAGGCGGGCGUAAUACCGCAUAAUGCAGCGGCACCGAAUGGUGAUUAGUUGUUAAAGCGGGGGGACCUUAGGGCCUCGCGUCUGGAGAGGAGCCUGCGGCAGAUUAGCUUGUUGGUAGGGAAUGCCUACCAAGGCUGCGAUCUGUAGCUGGUCUGAGAGGACGGCCAGCCACACUGGCACUGACACACGGGCCAGACUCCUACGGGAGGCAGCAGUGGGGAAUUUU
rnacentral:rRNA from 1 species